rnacentral:rRNA from 1 species
UACGUAGGGUGCAAGCGUUGUCCGGAAUUAUUGGGCGUAAAGAGCUCGUAGGCGGCUUGUCGCGUCGGCUGUGAAAACCUGGGGCUCAACCCCGGGCCCUGCAGCCGAUACGGGCAAGCUAGAAUUCGGUAGGGGAGACUGGAAUUCCUGGUGUAGCGGUGAAAUGCGCAGAUAUCAGGAGGAACACCGGUGGCGAAGGCGGGUCUCUGGGCCGAUAUUGACGCUGAGGAGCGAAAGCGUGGGGAGCAAACAGG